GAACCCACAAACUUGGCAUUUUGCAUUGGAGAGAGAUGGAGCAGCAGGAGCUGCAGCAGCAGCAGCCAAAGAUAAAACUGGCGAAUGCUCUGCUAAAGAACUCAAAAAACCCCAAACUCGCAUGGCAACUCUUCAAACGGACCUCUCUCUCAACCCCCAACCUCUUCUUCCAAUCUCUCCCCAUCAUCACCCGCAUUCUCCUUCGCUUCAGUAUGUUCGCCGAGAUCGACAGUCUUCACCAUUUCCUUCUUUCCCAACCACCCGUAAAGAAUUCUUCUCUAUACACCGUCGUUAGGAUCCUGGCCGAGUCAGGCCAUGUUGACAAGGCCUUGUCUCAGUUUCAAACUCUCCGAGCCCAGUUCCCUGAUCGUCCUCCUUUGGUUUCGCUGUACAAUUUGCUUAUUCAGUCUUCGCUGAAAGGAGAUUGUCGGCAAAACUUCGUUUCUUGGUUGUAUAAAGACAUGAUUUUUGCUGGGAUUUUGCCAGAAACGUAUACUUUUAACCUGUUGAUUGGUGGGCUGUGUGAUUCGGGUCGAUUGGAAGAUGCUCAGAAACUAUUUGAUAAAAUGCGUGAAAAAGGAUGUGAACCUAAUGAGUUCAGUUUUGGGAUUUUGGUCCGUGGGUAUUGUAGAGUCGGACUUGCUUCUAAUGGAUUGGAGCUUUUGGAUUUGAUGAAGGAAAUGGAUGUGUUCCCAAAUUUGGUUAUUUAUAACACUUUGAUUGCGAGCUUUUGUAAAGAAGGUAAGACUGAGGAGGCAGAGAAAUUGGUGGAGCAGAUGAGGGAGGAUGGGCUUGUUCCGGAUGUUGUUACAUUUAACUCUAGGAUUUCAGCACUUUGCAAGUCGGGUAACAUGUUGGAGGCUUCCAGGAUUUUUAGGGACAUGCAGAUGAAUGAAGAGUUGGGCUUACCUAAACUUAAUACGAUUACAUUUAACUUGAUGUUAGAGGGGUUUUGCAAUGAAGGCAUGUUGGAUGAAGCGAAGACCCUGGUUCAGUCCAUGAAGCAAAAUGAUGUUUUCCCGAAUGUUGAGAGCUAUAACAUAUGGCUGUAUGGUUUGGUAAGGAAUAAGAAGGUCUUUGAUGCUCAGUUAGUUCUUAAAGAUAUGGUGGAUCAGGGUGUAGAACCAAGUACAUACUCAUACAACAUUGUGAUGAAUGGCCUGUGCAAGAAUGGGAUGCUCGGUGAUGCAAGGAUGUUGAUGGGAUUGAUGACAAGUGGUGGGAUCUCUCCAGAUACGGUCACUUAUAGUACUCUACUCCAUGGAUACUGCUGCAAAGGAAAGGUAGUAGAGGCAAACAGGGUUUUACAUGAGAUGAUGAAGAAUGGAUACACUCCAAAUAAUUAUACAUGCAACAUUUUGCUGCACAGCCUCUGGAAAGAAGGGAAAAUUUCAGAAGCAGAGAAGCUACUGCAAAAGAUGAAUGAAGGUGGCUGUGAUUUGGACAUUGUGAGUUGCAAUAUUGUGAUUGAUGGUCUUUGCAGAACUGGAAGGGUGGACAAAGCAGUUGAAAUUGUGAGUGAAAUGUGGACUCAUGGAAGUGCUGCUCUUGGUAAUAUUGGGAAUUCCUUCAUUGGCCUGGUGGAUGAGGGAAACAACGGAAAGAAAUGCAUGCCUGACUUAAUUACAUAUUCAACCAUCAUUAGCGGCUUGUGCAAUGAUGGAAGGCUUGAUGAAGCCAAAAAGAAGUUUGUUGAGAUGAUGAAGAAAAACUUAUACCCUGAUUCAGUUGUAUAUAAUACUUUUCUCUACAAUUUGUGUAAAAAGGGUAAGGUAUCAUCUGCAUUUCAGGUUUUGAAGGACAUGGAGAAAAAGGGUUGCAACAAGAACUUAAAUACAUACAACUCUUUGAUUCUAGGGCUGCGGAGCAAGAGUCAAAUAUUUGAAAUGUCUGGACUGAUGGAUGAGAUGAGAGAAAGAGGCAUUUCUCCCAAUGUUUUUACAUACAAUACUGUAAUAAGCUGUCUUUGUGAAGCAGGAAGAACAGAAGAAGCUAUUUCUCUUUUAGAGGAAAUGUUACAGAAGGGUACAACCACCCCAAAUACUGAUUCAUUCGAGUUUUUAAUUAAAGCAUUUUGUAGGGCGGGUGAAUUCAGGCCUGCACUAGAUGUAUUUGAUAUUGCUCUUGAUAUAUGUGGCCAUAAGGAAGCACUUUAUGCUAUAAUAUUCAAUGAGAUGCUAACCGGGGGGGAAACAUUGGAAGCAAAGGUAAUAUUUGAAGCUGCAAUGAACAGAUAUCUUUGCCUAGGCAGCUUCCUGUACACUGAUCUGAUUGAUAGGUUGUGCAAAGAUGAAAAGUUUGAAGAAGCUCAUGAGGUUCUCAACAAAAUGAUUUCUAAAGGGUAUGGGUUUGAUCCUGCAUCAUUUAUGCCAGUGAUUGAUGCAUUGACUAAAAGAGGAAGGAAGCACGAGGCUGAUGAACUAUCAGAGAGAAUGCUAAAUAUGGCUGCACAAGGUAGGGUGGUAAACAAGGUUUACUUUAGCCAAGUUGAUAGGGCGUCAAGUCGGGGGAAACUAGGGAAACUAGAUCGAUCUCUUGGAAGCCAUUGGCAGACAAUCUUGCACAGAGAAGAUGGAAGUUCAACAGCUUUGAAAACUUUGAAGCGGGUGCAAAAGGGAUGGGGUCAAGGAAGUGUAUCAAGUCUACAAGUCAAAAGAAGUGACUAUCUUGAUGAAUGGGAUGCUGCUGGAUAAAAUUAUAUGUUUUUGUCACAUAUACAUAUGCAGGAUAAUUUCUCAUGUUGUUCGGACUGAGGGUCAAGACUUAGGAACAAGUUCAAAUAUAAACAGCCACUCAUUCAAAGGAAAGAUGUGAAACAUAAUUAAGAGGUCUACAGCCAAAUGCAAGAAGCAGCCACUAAACAGUCAAGAGAACUCAACAUUACAAUCAACAGUUAAUACAGUAUAUGCAGAAAGUCUACUUGCUAUAGGAUCCGCAAGAUCUUAUGCUAAUCUUCAGCCAUUGUCUUGCUAUUCCAACUUUGUCAGCACUGGAAGUCAAGGGCCACAAUCCAAUCAACUGAAGGGACAGUAAAUUCACCAAAGAAGUGUUCUUUCUUAAUUCCAGUCAGCUGUGAAAACAGUAGUCCUCACGCCUCGACCGAUGAUAAUUGUUUCUGACUACAGUCUAUUUCUUGGUCUGUGAAGCAAAGAGUUCUCUAAUGAAGUAAAGCUUGAAGAUGUCAUCUGCUGUUAAACCAUUAUCCUGACAUGGUGUUAGUCAACAUGCUACAUGUAAGGGGGUCUGAAAACUUGCUAUCCAUGUAGUGACAGGUAAUUUAAACUCCAGAGCUUUCAAAACAUGUCUUUUUGUAAAUAGUGCUGAUGCAGUUGUCCAAGAAGUGACAGGUAAAAUAUGCUGAUGCAGUUGGUAAAGGGGACUGAAAGCUUGGUAUCCAUUUAAUGACACGUAAUUAAACUCCAGAGCUUUCAGAACAUGUCUUUUGUCCAAGUAAAGAAUGUAGAUGAUUUCAUGUGGCAUAAUUUGUCUUACUUCCUUGUUUUACAUCAACUUGAGUUACCAGAAUAGUAGUUGAAUUUACUCCAUGGACAUUAAGCCUCAAGCCAGACUGGUGGUGAUGACAGUCUCAAAAAUAUGCCUGUCCCUGCGAAAUUAUCUUCCAUUUUGCCUUUCUCUGUUUUACCAAGGCUGGAUAAGAUUGUUUUCUGGGUGGUCAUACUGUUGUUCAGGAGGAUUUUAAACCAAAUUUAAUGUUUGUUCUUUUACAAAGGUUUAUGAAUGGUUUUAUGGAGACUUGUAAGGUGACUUUCAGAUAUUUGACCACAACUUGACUUCUAUAAUCUGUGGAUUAGGAGAUUAAAUACUGGUGGUUAGGGAUUUGGGCUUCAUUAUUUUUCAAUUGAAGAAGUGAAGUAAGCACAAUAUAAAAUGGCUGAUAUCAUCAUGCACAAGAGAUGGUAAACCAUGAUAUAUUGCUUGUUGUUUGACUAAUUCUUGUAUGUUCUUCAGGGUUUGCAUGCCUUUAUAAAACUCUGCUAUGCAUUCUUUUGCAAUCUUUAAUUAGGAUGUGUAACUUUAGAAGGAUACAUGUAUAUCCAAAUCUAUAGACUUAUAAGUAGAAACAAAGACACAAAUAAAGAGCGGUUUUGCAACUAAAUGUGGUAGUCUUUUAGAAGACAAAAAAACUCAAGUCUAUGGUAGACAUGGAUGACUUUUAGGCUGUGUGAAUGCACAAAAAGACCUUUUUGUUUAAUCUGGUUUAAUGACUUUUUGUCUACUCAAAGAGUGCCACAUUUAGUUGCAAUUCGAAAAAGUCAUCUCAUAGCAAACCGCUCUUUGUUUCUGUUGCCUUUGCUAAGCUCGUUUCUCUCAAAAUUGGUAAGUACUGUGUUUAUCAUGAGUUACUUUUCUACUUUGAAUUUUGAGUAACGGGGUGCAUGCCAGAGUGUGUGCAGCUUGUAUGUUUUCAGCCAAUAUGUUUUUAGUUAAAAUGCAUUUGUUAUUACCUAAAGUAGUGCUGGUUCAUAUGUCUAUUUUUUCUUACCUGAGAACAUUUAUUUAAGUUUGUUCAGGUAUUGCUUUUGCUUGUUUGGCAUAAAGCAGGUUCUAUUUGUGUUAUAUAGUUAUUAGAUACCAGCAUGCAAUUUCUCCUCUUAUCUGUUCCAUUAGAAGCUUAUCUAUAUGCCUUGAUGCAUCUCCAUUUACUUAUUUCGUCACAGUUGCAGGAACAAAUAAGAUCACAAAAUCUGAAGUUAUGCAAUAAUGCUGAUGGAUCAUGGCAAAAAGCAGUUACUUACCUUGAGGGAGAAAAAUGACUCAUGACUCGUGUAUACUAGUGAAUGUGUUAUUGUCUAUUUAGAUGGAAGCCUAAAAGAGCUUCCUGGAAAACAAGACCUAUAUUCAUGAUAAAUUCUCUGCAGAAAAAGUUCUGUAUUAGCCUUCUGAUCUGCAUAAGCAGUUGUAAUAUGUUAUCCUUACAAGUCUUGUCAUGUCAAAUUUCAGGCCUAGUUUCUUACAGAGCACACUUGGAUCAAUCUUCUCGGCUUCUUUAAGCUUGGACUACUUUGUGCAUACUCCUUAGUUCACUACAUGGACCCCAUGCUGCUUGUUUUGACGUUUUGGGAUAUAAUCAGGCUUCAUAAACUUUUACUUCAUUGAUUGUAGAAGUCAAUCUAGAUGAUGUAGAGGUUUUGUGCGGUCUGUCAAUGGUCAAGCAUAAAUAGCUCACCAACACAGGAGACUUUCUUAUGGAAUAAUUUUUUUUGAUCGAGAAUUUAGUUUGAUUUCAUGUUUAGUUUAGAAGAUGUUCAUUAAUAGCCUGCUGGAUUACAGAUUCUGAAAAACAGCUUUCUUCCA